rnacentral:rRNA from 1 species
ACGCUGGCGGCGUGCCUAAUACAUGCAAGUAGAACGCUGAAGAGAGGAGCUUGCUCUUCUUGAAUGAGUUGCGAACGGGUGAGUAACGCGUAGGUAACCUGCCUUGUAGCGGGGGAUAACUAUUGGAAACGAUAGCUAAUACCGCAUAACAAUGGGUGACACAUGUCAUUUAUUUGAAAGGGGCAAUUGCUCCACUACAAGAUGGACCUGCGUUGUAUUAGCUAGUAGGUGAGGUAACGGCUCACCUAGGCGACGAUACAUAGCCGACCUGAGAGGGUGAUCGGCCACACUGGGACUGAGACACGGCCCAGACUCCUACGGGAGGCAGCAGUAGGGAAUCUUCGGCAAUGGGGGCAACCCUGACCGAGCAACGCCGCGUGAGUGAAGAAGGUUUUCGGAUCGUAAAGCUCUGUUGUAAGUCAAGAACGAGUGUGAGAGUGGAAAGUUCACACUGUGACGGUAGCUUACCAGAAAGGGACGGCUAACUACGUGCCAGCAGUCGCGGUAAUACGUAGGUCCCGAGCGUUGUCCGGAUUUAUUGGGCGUAAAGCGAGCGCAGGCGGUUUGAUAAGUCUGAAGUUAAAGGCUGUGGCUCAACCAUAGUUCGCUUUGGAAACUGUCAAACUUGAGUGCAGAAGGGGAGAGUGGAAUUCCAUGUGUAGCGGUGAAAUGCGUAGAUAUAUGGAGGAACACCGGUGGCGAAAGCGGCUCUCUGGUCUGUAACUGACGCUGAGGCUCGAAAGCGUGGGGAGCGAACAGGAUUAGAUACCCUGGUAGUCCACGCCGUAAACGAUGAGUGCUAGGUGUUGGAUCCUUUCCGGGAUUCAGUGCCGCAGCUAACGCAUUAAGCACUCCGCCUGGGGAGUACGACCGCAAGGUUGAAACUCAAAGGAAUUGACGGGGGCCCGCAC